rnacentral:rRNA from 1 species
GACGAACGCUGGCGGCGUGCUUAACACAUGCAAGUCGAACGGAAAGGCCCUGCUUUUGUGGGGUGCUCGAGUGGCGAACGGGUGAGUAACACGUGAGUAACCUGCCCUUGACUUUGGGAUAACUUCAGGAAACUGGGGCUAAUACCGGAUAGAAGAUCCUGCUGCAUGGUGGGGGUUGGAAAGUUUCGGCGGUUGUGGAUGGACUCGCGGCUUAUGAGCUUGUUGGUGGGGUAGUGGUUUACCAAGGCUUUGACGGGUAGCCGGCCUGAGAGGGUGACCGGCGACAUUGGGACUGAGAGACGGACCAGACUCCUACGGGAGGCAGCAGUGGGGAAUCUUGCACAAUGGGCGGAAGCGUGAUGCAGCAACGCCGCGUGCGGGAUGACGGCCUUCGGGGUGUAAACCGCUUUGGCCUGUGAUGAAGCCUGAGUGACGGUAAUGGGUAAAGAAGCACCGGCUAACUACGUG